AGUGAACGCUGGCGGUAGGCCUAACACAUGCAAGUCGAACGGCAGCACAGUAAGAGCUUGCUCUUACGGGUGGCGAGUGGCGGACGGGUGAGGAAUACAUCGGAAUCUACUUUUUCGUGGGGGAUAACGUAGGGAAACUUACGCUAAUACCGCAUACGACCUACGGGUGAAAGCAGGGGAUCUUCGGACCUUGCGCGAUUGAAUGAGCCGAUGUCGGAUUAGCUAGUUGGCGGGGUAAAGGCCCACCAAGGCGACGAUCCGUAGCUGGUCUGAGAGGAUGAUCAGCCAAACUGGAACUGAGAAACGGUUCAGACUCCUACGGGAGGCAGCAGUGGGGAAUAUUGGACAAUGGGCGCAAGCCUGAUCCAGCCAUACCGCGUGGGUGAAGAAGGCCUUCGGGUUUUAAAGCCCUUUUGUUGGGAAAGAAAAGCAGCAGGUUAAUACCCCGCUGUUCUGACGGUACCCAAAGAAUAAGCACCGGCUAACUUCGUG
rnacentral:rRNA from 1 species